rnacentral:tRNA from 1 species
CCCAUAGCUCAGUUGGUUAGAGCAGCGGACUCAUAAUCCGUUGGUCCUAGGUUCAAGUCCUAGUGGGC